ACGCUGGCGGCGUGCUUAACACAUGCAAGUCGAACGGAAAGGCCCUGCUUUUGUGGGGUGCUCGAGUGGCGAACGGGUGAGUAACACGUGAGUAACCUGCCCUUGACUUUGGGAUAACUUCAGGAAACUGGGGCUAAUACCGGAUAGGAGCUCCUGCUGCAUGGUGGGGGUUGGAAAGUUUCGGCGGUUGGGGAUGGACUCGCGGCUUAUCAGCUUGUUGGUGGGGUAGUGGCUUACCAAGGCUUUGACGGGUAGCCGGCCUGAGAGGGUGACCGGCCACAUUGGGACUGAGAUACGGCCCAGACUCCUACGGGAGGCAGCAGUGGGGAAUAUUGCACAAUGGGCGGAAGCCUGAUGCAGCAACGCCGCGUGCGGGAUGACGGCCCUCGGGUUGUAGACCGCUUUCGCCUGUGACGAAGCGUGAGUGACGGUAAUGGGUAAAGAAGCACCGGCUAACUACGUG
rnacentral:rRNA from 1 species